rnacentral:rRNA from 1 species
UUAAUAGAAGAGUUUGAUCAUGGCUCAGAUUGAACGCUGGCGGCAGGCCUAACACAUGCAAGUCGAGCGGUAACAGGAAAGUGCUUGCACUUUUGCUGACGAGCGGCGGACGGGUGAGUAAUGUCUGGGGAUCUGCCCGAUGGCGGGGGAUAACCACUGGAAACGGUGGCUAAUACCGCAUAAUGUCGCAAGACCAAAGUGGGGGACCUUCGGGCCUCACGCCAUGGGAUGAACCCAGAUGGGAUUAGCUGGUAGGUAGGGUAAUGGCCUACCUAGGCGACGAUCCCUAGCUGGUCUGAGAGGAUGACCAGCCACACUGGGACUGAGACACGGCCCAGACUCCUACGGGAGGC